rnacentral:tRNA from 1 species
GGAGCGUUACUCAAGUGGUCGAAGAGGAUGUGUUGGAAACGCAUUAGUAGGGAAACCUAGCGGGAGUUCAAAUCUCCCACGCUCCG